rnacentral:lncRNA from 1 species
GCGCAGUCGUGGGAACAGCGCGGAGCAGUCUGUCAGCACUGCCUUCAAAAUGCACCCAGAAUAGAUUCACAAUUCUACCAUUUCUCUCAACCGCCACUGUCACCACCUUGGUCCAGGCCCCCAUCAUCUGAGAAGCACCAAAAGAGGCAAACUGAGAUGCAGACAAAUGAUCAUCCGUAUGCUGAUCAUUUUGAAUAGUUUUUUAAAAUAUAUUCUUUCUUUAAAAAGAGACCAAAACCUGUCAAAAAAAUACUACCGUGGAAAGCUCAUAAAUACUACAGUGUGAAGAACCCUGUGCUUAUCUUCAGUUUAUCAUCAGACAUCUUAGGGAAGUUUAAUAAAGAACACCAGUGAGGAGAUUGUGGACUGCCUAAUAUAUUUCAUCAGAAGAGAAGGCUGGAGAAUUAAGCAGAUGCAGCAAAAAGCAGAAACUGACUUCAAAAAAAACCCUCUCAGUAGAGAAAGUGAUAUUAGAUUCCUAUUGCAAAGGAUCUAAUGCCAGUUAAAUUCUCUUUUGCUUUCUUGAUAAAACAGGAGAAUUGAGAAUUAAAUGAAAAGGUAAAUCCUUUUAAAGACCUCAGAAGAUGGAUCUGUUUGUUUCAAUCUGCUUUUGAGGUUGUUUGCUAUGUCUUUGGCUGAUCUAACAAAAACAAAUAU